AGACCCGAAACCCGGUGAUCUAGCCAUGGGCAGGUUGAAGGUUGGGUAACACUAACUGGAGGACCGAACCGACUAAUGUUGAAAAAUUAGCGGAUGACCUGUGGCUGGGGGUGAAAGGCCAAUCAAACCGGGAGAUAGCUGGUUCUCCCCGAAAGCUAUUUAGGUAGCGCCUCGUGAAUUCAUCUCCGGGGGUAGAGCACUGUUUCGGCUAGGGGGCCAUCCCGGCUUACCAACCCGAUGCAAACUGCGAAUACCGGAGAAUGUUAUCACGGGAGACACACGGCGGGUGCUAACGUCCGUCGUGAAGAGGGAAACAACCCAGACCGCCAGCUAAGGUCCCAAAGUCAUGGUUAAGUGGGAAACGAUGUGGGAAGGCCCAGACAGCCAGGAUGUUGGCUUAGAAGCAGCCAUCAUUUAAAGAAAGCGUAAUAGCUCACUGGUCGAGUCGGCCUGCGCGGAAGAUGUAACGGGGCUAAACCAUGCACCGAAGCUGCGGCAGCGACACUGUGUGUUGUUGGGUAGGGGAGCGUUCUGUAAGCCUGUGAAGGUGGCCUGUGAGGGUUGCUGGAGGUAUCAGAAGUGCGAAU
rnacentral:rRNA from 1 species